rnacentral:rRNA from 1 species
AGUGAACGCUGGCGGUAGGCCUAACACAUGCAAGUCGAACGGCAGCACAGUAAGAGCUUGCUCUUACGGGUGGCGAGUGGCGGACGGGCGAGGAAUACAUCGGAAUCUACUUUUUCGUGGGGGAUAACGUAGGGAAACUUACGCUAAUACCGCAUACGACCUACGGGUGAAAGCAGGGGAUCUUCGGACCUUGCGCGAUUGAAUGAGCCGAUGUCGGAUUAGCUAGUUGGCGGGGUAAAGGCCCACCAAGGCGACGAUCCGUAGCUGGUCUGAGAGGAUGAUCAGCCACACUGGAACUGAGGCACGGUCCAGACUCCUACGGGAGGCAGCAGUGGGGAAUAUUGGACAAUGGGCGCAAGCCUGAUCCAGCCAUACCGCGUGGGUGAAGAAGGCCUUCGGGUUGUAAAGCCCUUUUGUUGGGAAAGAAAAGCAGCAGGUUAAUACCCCGCUGUUCUGACGGUACCCAAAGAAUAAGCACCGGCUAACUUCGUG